rnacentral:lncRNA from 1 species
GGUCACCACUAGAGUGGGAGAGAGCCUACACGGAAUUUUCCCCAGGCCUUAGAGUCUGCUAUUACAUUUGCAACGAAGAAACACAAGGUUCUCUGAGGCUUUCCCCCUGCUGGAAGUCAUGAUUCUAGUGUCAGUUGUCCCAUUUCUUUGGCAGAAAUGGGUGGUAGAAAACUGAUCCCAGCACCCUCCUCACAAGGAGAGCCAGGAGCUUCUACACAGAGCACUUCCAGGAAAACAAAACAAAACACUGUUACCUACCCGGAUCUGCCUUCCAGCACA